GAAAUGCGAUAAGUAAUGUGAAUUGCAGAAUUCAGUGAAUCAUCGAAUCUUUGAACGCACAUUGCGCCCGGCAGUACUCUGCCGGGCAUGCCUGUUCGAGCGUCAUUUCAACCCUCAAGCCCGGCUUGGUGUUGGGGCCCUGCGGCAGCCGCAGGCCCCGAAAGGAAGUGGCGGGCUCGCUACAACCCCGAGCGUAGUAAUUCUCUUAUCUCGCCUAGGGAGUUGGGCGGCGCUCCUGCCGUUAAAGCACCAUCUUUAACUCAAGGUUGACCUCGGAUCAGGUAGGAAUACCCGCUGAACUUAA
rnacentral:misc_RNA from 1 species